rnacentral:rRNA from 1 species
UAGGGGGUAUUGCACCUACCGAAGACUAUCAAACUCCGAAUGCCGUCAUCUUAUACUUGGGAGUCAGACUGUGGGUGAUAAGAUUCAUAGUCGAAAGGGCAAUAGCCCAGAUCGUCAGCUAAGGUCCCUAAAUGUAAGUUAAGUGGUAAAGGAUGUGGGAUUGCACAGACAACCAGGAUGUUGGCUUAGAAGCAGCCACUCAUUC